GAUGAAGAACGUAGCGAAAUGCGAUAAGUAGUGUGAAUUGCAGAAUUCAGUGAAUCAUCGAAUCUUUGAACGCACAUUGCGCCCCUUGGUAUUCCAUGGGGCAUGCCUGUUCGAGCGUCAUUUGUACCUUCAAGCUUUGCUUGGUGUUGGGUGGUUGUCCAUUCUCUUGCAGAGGGACUCGCCUUAAAGUAAUUGGCAGCCAGUGUUUUGGUUUUGAAGCGCAGCACAAGUCGCGAUUCAAAGCUAUACGCCCGCUUCCACAAGCCUUUUUCACUUUUGACCUCGGAUCAGGUAGGGAUACCCGCUGAACUUAAGCAUAUCAAUAAGCGGAGGA
rnacentral:misc_RNA from 1 species